rnacentral:rRNA from 1 species
AAUAUUGGACAAGGGGUGAAAGCCUGACCCAGCCAUGCCGCGUGUGUGAAGAAGGUCUUCUGAUUGUAAAGCACUUUUAGUUGGAAGGAAGGUCAGUCAGUUAAUACCUUGCUGCAUUUACGUUACCGACAGAAUAAGCAUUGCCUAACUCCGUGCCAGCAACCGCGGUAAUACGAAGGGUGCAAGCGUUAAUCGGAAUUACUGUGCGUAAGGCGCGCGUAGGUGGUUCGUUAAGUUGGAAGUGAAAGCCCCGGGCUUAACCUGGGAAUUGCUUUCAAAACUGACGAGCUGGAGUACGGUAGAGGGUAGUGGAAUUUCCUGUGUAGCGGUGAAAUGCGUAGAUAUAGGAAGGAACACCAGUGGCGAAGGCGACCACCUGGGCUAAUACUGACACUGAGGUGCGAAAGCGUGGGGAGCAAACAGG